rnacentral:tRNA from 2 species
GCUGGAGUGGCGGAAUUGGUAUACGCGCUAGUCUUAGGAACUAGUCCCGCAAGGGUUAGGAGUUCAAGUCUCCUCUCCAGCA